UGGACGAUUAACUCAGCGGGAGAGUGCCACCUUCACACGGUGGAAGUCACUGGUUCAAAUCCAGUAUCGUCCAA
rnacentral:tRNA from 1 species